CCCUUACCAUGCAUUUGUUAUUAGCCAGAAAGCCAGCCCCUCUCUCCCCCUCUCCCUCUCCCGCUUUUCCCCUCUCUUCUUCUCUCCUGUUCCUGGGGUGAUACCUUAGGAACUGUGCAUGGGCAAAGCAAUCAGUGACAACAGUAGUUUCAGGUAAUAAUGACCUUUGUUCUUGGGGAAUGCAAAACUGAAAAACAUCUCAUGAUGAGGUAGGCGAUUUAAAUAAGAUGUGCACCAUCUGGUCACGGACACCCAGCUUUAAGAAGGUGCCUACCAAUCCAGGAUCACCCUCCUCCUGUAUAAACGGCAGAUAACAGCUUCCAGGGAAAGGGAAUGACAGAGAAGCAGCUGCCUCUGGAAAACUGGAUAAAGCAAGAGGACACUAUGUUGUGCGCUAGGCAGACUGAAUCUUUUGAAUGGACACCAUAAAAAAAAGAAAAACUGUGAAAGUCUGGAGUGCAUUUGCUUGAUGACUCUGGGUAUUUACUCAACUGUCAUCUAUCUGCUACCACCUGUGUCUGAGUAUUUGAGUUGAGUAGGUCAUGAUAGAACCCACACAAAUUGCAUGGUUGCCUUAGGAUAAAUUAGUCUAUCAGCACCUCUACUAUCUGACCUUUAGCCACUGUAUCCUGAUUCACCAGCUUUUAAAGAGAUGAUAUAAUAAAAGUAGGUCCAAUUUCCCUUAAUCCCCUGCAAACCAAAGGCCUUAGCUUUAGUGAGAGAAAAAUGGGCCAGGAGGGAAUGUAGAGGAUAUAACCUUCUACGGCUCUUUUGGAUACUAGUGUUCAAGUGGCAAUUUUAUCUGGCUUUCUUGAGGGAAAGGAUCUACACAUUCAAGUUGCCAAUUUUGGAAACACUUAAGUGGGAAUGCAAAGAUCUGUUAUGUAUGACUAUAAUGGCAGACCUUUUAGAGUUUGCAAUGAUAAUAAGCAGC
ensembl:lncRNA